rnacentral:rRNA from 1 species
CGCGCAGGCGGGCCGGUAAGUUGGAAGUGAAAUCUAUGGGCUUAACCCAUAAACUGCUUUCAAAACUGCUGGUCUUGAGUGAUGGAGAGGCAGGCGGAAUUCCGUGUGUAGCGGUGAAAUGCGUAGAUAUACGGAGGAACACCAGUGGCGAAGGCGGCCUGCUGGACAUUAACUGACGCUGAGGCGCGAAAGCGUGGGAGCAAACA